rnacentral:piRNA from 1 species
UUAAAACACAGUUUGGACUGU